rnacentral:lncRNA from 1 species
GGACUUCUACAUUUGCAUCAGCUUAGUAAGUGUACCUGAAAAUUGCGAAUUGGAAAGGAAAGUGAGAUCAGUAGCAGUAGAUGGAAAAGCAACAGAUCACAUCCAUAAUAAAACUAUCUAAACCCAGCAGAGUACCAAAAUGGGCAAAGAUGAACCCAGUAAAUGACACAAUCAAUGAAACGAACACUUCAAUUGUGCC